AUUGAACGCUGGCGGCAGGCCUAACACAUGCAAGUCGAGCGGAUGAAGGGAGCUUGCUCCUGGAUUCAGCGGCGGACGGGUGAGUAAUGCCUAGGAAUCUGCCUGGUAGUGGGGGAUAACGUCCGGAAACGGGCGCUAAUACCGCAUACGUCCUGAGGGAGAAAGUGGGGGAUCUUCGGACCUCACGCUAUCAGAUGAGCCUAGGUCGGAUUAGCUAGUUGGUGGGGUAAAGGCCUACCAAGGCGACGAUCCGUAACUGGUCUGAGAGGAUGAUCAGUCACACUGGAACUGAGACACGGUCCAGACUCCUACGGGAGGCAGCAGUGGGGAAUAUUGGACAAUGGGCGAAAGCCUGAUCCAGCCAUACCGCGUGUGUGAAGAAGGUCUUCGGAUUGUAAAGCACUUUAAGUUGGGAGGAAGGGCAGUAAGUUAAUACCUUGCUGUUUUGACGUUACCAACAGGAUAAGCACCGGCUAACUUCGUG
rnacentral:rRNA from 1 species